rnacentral:lncRNA from 1 species
UUUCAAUACUCACGCUAGGAGAGAGACAAAGCGCAUACUGCCAUCAAUCAUCUCUCCCGAAGAUCUUGAUGAGGAAGACUGUGUUGUUGAUCGGCGACGACGACUCAAAGACAACGAGUUGGGAGGUCCGGACACGACGAUGGCAAGAGCCGGAAAAAGGCAACAGUGGGCAGUAACUUUGCUUCUUUUUCCACUUGUUAUAUUGUUUUUUGUCUCUUAUAUGUAUAUAUCUUCCAUUUUUACAUUAUUAACGUGGUUUUUUUCCCUUUGGCAAAUCUUCCACUCUUUUACACAUAUCUUUCUGCCAUCAAAAUGCCAAUACUUGAAGAAAUUCAGCAGGGAAAGGGGAAGAAUUAACUAUUAAGUCACCGGUAGAAAGGAUGGCAAGUGGGAGGUGGCCGGGUGGGAGGAAGUCUUACCCCCCUCAACGGCCGGUGGUCUUUGUUUAUUAAGAAAGCAGGCUAUUGUAUUUAGUAAUAUUGACUAUAUUCUAUAAGUUAACUUUUCAAUGACAAUUAUUUAGUAAAAAACAGCCAACAAUAUCAAAUGUUAAAUGUAACUAUAACUAAUCAUCCUAAACCAUGCAAUCGAGAUAAGCACAAAAAUGUAGAAGAACGACAAGGGACUGAUUCGGAGUCUUUAUCUUCUUCUACACAACCUAGCUAGCAGCUAGGGUCAAAAGGUUUUACAAGCCGUCGGCGAAAGGCCGGAGAAGAUCGGAGAACGGCAGAACGGGCAAGAAGGCUGUUUCCGGUGAAGCAAUUGACCGACGCAGUCGGAGUGGAAGACGUGUCGACACCUGCUGAGCUGACAAACAACGUCAUCAAGAUGGUAAUCAGCAGAGCAUACGAAGCACAUCUCUUCCACGGAUCUCUGUCGCCUUUCCAGCAGAUCUUCGAACCUGAUAACCGGAAGAUCGACGAGACUUGGGUAUGGAGUAGAGUUUUCGCAUCGAAACAAGUAGAAGAAAAAGUCCUUGAUUAAACUGAGCAACUCGUGCUUGAUACGGAAGACUGGGAAGAGAAUACAGAGGUAGAAGAUGAAGUUCAUCAACAU